rnacentral:lncRNA from 1 species
ACCCUGGGGCCCAGGGUGGCUGAAGUCUUGGAAGGCAAAGGAGCAGGGAAGAAGGGCCGCUUCCAGGGCAAAGCCACCAAGAUGAGCCGCCGGGCAGAGGCGCAGGCGCUUCUGCAGGACUAUGUCAGCACACAGAGUGCUGAGGAGUGAGGGGCCAGGACGUCGUCCCUGUGACCAACAGUAAAAUAUUGUGACUCAAACAUGGUUGUAUACUGCCAUUUAUGUUAGUGUGCAUAAUGUGCACGGCGUGCUCCAGUGUGCUAAAGCGACUAGCACCGGUAUGAAUGGUUUCUGACUUGGCUCCAUUAGGUGUAACCUCCAUGAGUGGAAAUUAAAUCAAUGAAAGG